rnacentral:misc_RNA from 1 species
AAGUCGUAACAAGGUAUCUGUAGGUGAACCUGCAGAUGGAUCAUUUCGAUGAAAACCUUUUUUCUGAGGUGUGGCUCGCACCUGUCCAACUAAACUUGAGCUACCCAAUUUCAACACGGUUGCAUCGGUUGGCUGUCAAACAGUGCCUCGGCGCUGGGAGGCGGUCGACACACAACACAAACACUUUUGAUGAUCUAGGAUUUUGAAUGAAGUUCAUUUUUAUGAUGGAACCGACUGGUAAUGCGGUCGUCUAAAUCUAAAAAACAACUUUUGGCAACGGAUCUCUUGGUUCU